GGUCGUGAUGGCGGAGAAGAGAAGAGGAUUAACUGCACCUCUAACGAGUCGUAAUCUUCAGUGGAUCUCUACCAUUUUUUCAGCUGUUUUGAUGCUUACGAAAGGCGCAGCUAUUUAGAAAUUGUUUCUUGUUCCGGUAUUUGCUCUACAAGCACCAGCAAGUAUCAUCUCUUGGAUAAAGAAAUAUUGUUGUUACUUGUGCCCAUAAAAUUUGUCAUCUUUAAUCUAGUCUGGGGAAAAAAAUAUGAAAAAUAGUGCUGUAAAUCUGGAAGAAGGACAGAUGGAUUUUAGUUGUACUGAAAUCUUGACUGAAGAUUUUUAACUUUUCGUGGACUGGACCGGUGAUGUCACUGCUAUAUAUAUCUCACAAUUGAGACUUGUACUCUCUUAAAUUUUAGGAUUGGAUUUUGGUAAUUUGAUUCAUAACAAUGGCAAAAUUUAAAGCUUGUGUUUGCAGUCCCCUUAACAGUUCCUAUAUUUGUCUUCAUUU